rnacentral:lncRNA from 1 species
AGGACUGAGAUUUUGAUAGUGUAGCUAAAUACUCUGUUAACGAUAUUUUUGUGUGUAAUUUAAUUACAUAAGCACUCAUCAAGUUUUAGGAGAAAACGAGUUAGAAUGAAGAAGUUAUGCGAUAAAUACAAAUCACUUAAAGUGAUCAAUAGUAACUCCGGUUUUCCGGAGAGGCUGAUGAGUAGAGUUGGCUUCUAGCGCGUAUCGGACUUCGUUCAUAGCGAUCCAAUAGCUUGUUUUGAACGGUUCAGCUAUUCUAGAACCAAUGGCACUGAUAGAUUUCAGAUCUGAUGCACGGUUUUCAAGAAAAAAGAGGUUUAUUGUUUUUACACAUAUAGGUAUAUAUGUGGUUUUUGGUAUUUGGAGAGUGGAUGAGUUUUGUCGUGAAUCUGUGAUCAAAUCGAAUGAAACGAAAUACUAGAUUCGAUGCCCUAGUCGUGCUGAAUGCGCUGGCGUAAUUCGUUUGGAAAUCCGACGGACAGAUCUUCGGGAAUUGCGAAAUGUUCGCUGAGGGGUCGAAAUCGGCAAAACGAAAAAAUUGCGAAAAGCCCAAUAUUUUAUGCGCCGUUUUGCGUGAUUUCGAACGUCG